UGAGUUUGAUCCUGCUUCAGAAGGAACGCUAGCUAUAUGCUUARCACAUGYAAGUCGAAYGUGAUUUUCGGGGAGCUGGGCAGAAGGAAAAGAGGCUCAACRCUAAAGUAGUCUCGCCCUGGUUCAAAACGUAAGGGCACGCACGUARGCGAAGAUUUUCAGCCUCMGUUUGCUGGAUCAGAAUAGUUGAGAACAAAGUGGCGAACGGGUGCGUAAUGUGUGGGAAUCUGCAGAACAGUUCUGGCCAAAUCCUGAAUCAAGCUCCAAAGCGCUGUUUGAUGAGCCUCCGUAGUAUUAGGUAGUUGGUCAGGUAAAAGUUGACCAAGCCAAUGAUGCUUAGCUGGUCUUUUUCGAUGAUCAGCCACACUGGGACUGAGACACGGCCAGAACUCGCACGAGGGGCAGUAGUGGGGAAUCUUGGAUAAUGGGCGAAAGCCCAAUCCAGUAAUAUCGCGUGAGUGAAGAAGGGAAAUUCCGCUUGUAAAGCUCUUUUGUCAAGUGCGCGAUUAUGACUGGGUGUAAAGGGGCACGUAGGCGGUGAAUCAGGUUGAAAGUGAAAGUCACAAAAAACUGGUGGAAUGCUCUCAAAACCAAUUCAUUUGAGUGAGACAGAGGAGAGUGGAAUUUCGUGUGUAGGGGUGAAAUCCGUAGAUCUACGAAGGAAGGCCAAAAGAAAAGACAGCUCUCUAGGUCCCUACCGACGCUGGGGUGCAAAAGCAUGUCGAGCGAACAGGAUUAGAUACCCUGGUAGUCGAUGACGUAAAUGAUGAGUGUUCGCCCUUGGUCUACGUGGAUCAAGGUCCCAGCUAACGCGUGAAACACUGCGCCUGGGGAGUACGGUCGCAAGACCGAAACUCAAAGGAAUUGACAAGGGCCUGCACAAGCGGUGGAGCAUGUGGUUUAAUUCGAUACAACGCGCAAAACCUUACCAGCCCUUGACAUAUGAACAACAAAACCUGUCCUUAACAGGAUGGUACUGACUUUCAUACACGUGCUGCAUGGCUGUUGUUAGCUCGUAUCGUGAGAUGUUUGGUCAAGUCCUAUAAUGAGUGAAACCCUCGUUUUGUGUUGCUGAGAUACGCGCCUAAGGAGAAAUAGCAACCAGAGUGAGCCGAGUGAUGUGCCAGCGCUACUACUUGAGUGCCAGCACGUAGCUGUGCU
rnacentral:rRNA from 1 species